AUAGGGCACUUUCAUCUGCAUUAAAAUAUGUGUUUAGGUAGGUAUCCUUUCUGCUCAAUGAUUUUUUUUCAUGGCACCUGGGACCUAGUCUGCUGCCUCUUGAUCAGCUUCUCCUGGUAUCUUGACAUUUUUAAGCCAGACCUCUUUCUGAAAUUAUUGAACUAUUCUUUGCUGGCAUUAAAUUUUCCAGCUUUAGAUUCUUCACCUUCUUUUGCUUUAAGUUGCCAUAUAAUGACUUUGCUUUUUCUUGAAUUAUGUUAGAGUCUAUAGGUAUGCCUUCCUUAUAGCAAUCUUGUACCCACAUAAAAGCUGCAUUUUGAUACAAGAUAAAAGGGUAUUUCAUAAAAAGUGCAAGGUUUUUUUGUCUGUAGCAUAGCUGUAGCGACAGCUUUGCAAAUUUCCUUUUCUUUUUUUUUUUUAUGAUGGUCCUUACACUGGAUUCAUUUUUCUUGAAAUGGCAGCAACUGUAGCUGUAGACCUCAAUCUACUAUAUACAACAAGCAAUUCAAUUUUUUCUUAUAAUGUCAUGACAUUUCUCUGUUUCUUGGCAGCACUUCCAGCAUCACUAGUUGCACCUUGUAUGGGUCCCAUGAUAUUAUUCAAGGUUUAUGGCACUGCACUGGACAUGAUGAAAAAUACGCAAGAUGCAUCUCUAAUGGUUGAAGAAGUGGUGGAGGAUGGCAUGGGAGAGAGUUCCUGAGGAUCCUUGCCUGGGACAAGUUAUGGAAAGAAAAUCUUACAGCUUGGGCACUAGGAAAAGAACCCUUUAUCUCAUCUUGUCUUCCAGUCCAUUUUGAAUCAAGAAAGAUCCCUUGAAGACUCCUUUGAGAAGAGUCUGUUUUGAAGAAGGAAAAGGAAUACUGUUUGAGAGAAGGCAAACAGACAAAAAGGGUGAUAGAAACAUGUAUCUUGUUGUAUAUUUAACACUGAGAGACCUUCUAGAGUGAACAUAGAGAACUGAGAAGUAGUAAAUUAAGGAAUGACUGAAUCUUGUGGGUCUUGAUGGAAAAAUGCUGAUCAUCUUCUAAUGUGGAAAAACAGUUGGUGCUUCAGUCCUAGGACUUUUUGUCUCUGCUGUGUGCAGUUAUAAACCCUUACAUUCAGAACCACCCGUUUGUCCUUUGUGAAUGAUGGCACUCUUGCUUCUGUUUCAGCAAUGCCUCUAAGGAUGAAUGAAAAUAUAUAGCAUCUGCCAAAACCUAAAAAAUACAGUCCAUUUAUUUAUCACUAGAGCUUUGUAAGGUACUUUUCUUGCAUUUUAAAAUUCUUUAGUGCUUGAAACCAACCACUGUGGGAUUUUAUCAAAAAUAUUAGUUUUUCAGGAUGAAGUAUGGUGAUUUCUAUCUAUGUUAUGAUCAGUUUUAUCCAUUGUGAUAUCCAUAAACAACUUGAUGGAACUGAGAUUUUAUAUUUUACACUUAAAUAAUUAUGCUAUUUAUGGUGUGUAAUUAAUGUAUGAUUUUCUGUUUUCCUUGAGAUUUUAACAGACCUUAUAUUACUGUAUAUGUCAAAAUAAAAAUUUUAAAAUAGUAAAUGUUAUAAUAUCAAGGAUAUGGAUUUUAUGUUGAUUUUCUACUAAAUGUUGAAUUUGGUCUUCAAAACCCUGAUCCUAAAUGAGAAAUCAAUCUCAACAUUUGAAAAUUAAGAGUUUGUCUGUGUUAUAUAAAAAGCAUCUUAUGAAUUGGUUUGUGUGGGUGUUUUUUAAAAUAAAUUUUUAUUUUUAAUUUUUUUCAGUAUGUAAUCAUACUCUUAGGCAGCUUUUCUUUGGAAGACAAGAAGGCGAUUUUAUUUUGAACCAGUAAUUGUUUCAGUUUUCCAGGCCAAUAAUACAAAUUUGAAAACUUAUUCAUUUUUCUUCAGUCUUUCCUUAUCUUAAGGGCUUUUAGAACAGAGAAUACAAUUAAUUUGAACAUAGUAUCUCUGUAGUCAAAAAUGUGUUUUCAAUCUUUGAAAGUCCUUCUUAUGUACCAGGGUCUUUUCUGAGAGCUCUCACUAAUACAGAAUAGAGUAAAUAAUUGAGUGAGCAUAUGUAUAUGUAAGGGUGUGAUUUUGUUUCAAUGUGGCAUAGUGAAUUGCGCAAACAUGUUUAUCACUGCUUUUCUUCUAGCAGCAAAAAGUUAAGAAUAACUUUAAGGUACAUCAAAAGGGAGAAUGGUUGUAGUGGAACAUUAUGGAACUCUUAAAGAAAUGGAUUCUCUUUCUAUUGAUAUUUUAAUAAGUGAGGAAAACAAAAUAUAAUUCAUAAAGUAUCUUAGUUUGAAAACCUUGUGUUUUUGUAAAACAUAUUAUAUAUAUUUGAGCCUGAAGAAAGUUAUAAUUAUCUUGACAUAUGAGAUGGGGAAUAAAGAAGGAAUAGGAAUGAUUGUUAAACAAUUUUUGUAUUAGCACGUAGUUUCAGUGAAAGUAUUACUUUUUUAUAAUUUUUGAAGAAGAGUUUAAGAAUUAUGCAAAAAUACAUGUAAUGUUUAUUAUAUUUUUAUAACCUUAUGGAAUAAUAGAAAAAUAAAAACUUGUAAUGGUCAGUGAUAUACAUAAUUUUCUGUUAAUGUAGAAUAAAUUAAGGAAGACCUAACAUUGAUUGUGAUCCAUGGGAACACCAAGACAGAAGUCAGCCUUAACUACAGGAGAUGAGAGUCAAGAUUAGUACAGACAUUUGAAAUGUAAAAAUUCUUAUUAUAGGAUAGAGAUUCAAUUUCACCUGCUUUGUCUCCUUAGUUUUAAUACUUUUGUGUUCAAGACACCCAAUUGCCCAAAAAAAUUUGAUUGAAUUUACUUAUAUUUCUUCUUUUUACCCCUCUUCUUCAUGCUCCUCCUUAGAAACCCAGGGGUGCUGUUAAUGUAGUGAUACAUGUUGUUGUGAAGCUGGGCAUUACUUUGAUCAGAAUAUUAGAAUAUUCGUUAAUGCCUGAUUACGGCCAUAUAAGGAAAAUUAUUAGAGUAGCAAAUACCUAUGACUGUUUUGGGCUUGUACAGUUAACAUCAUGAGUUCAUAGGAUAUAAGUUUUAAAAUACAACAAUUUAAAAUAUAGCUAAGUAAUAGUUGUGAUAGAUGUGUCAGACUCAGGAAAUAAUCGGCUAUUAAAAUACUGUAGACAACAGCCUUAAAUUUAUUUUCUAUUGUGCCCAUAGAAUUGUGUGUAUAACUUUAAAAAAAAUCAAUCACAGUUUAGGAAGAAAAACCAGUAUGUCUUUGGGGAUAGUAUCAUACAAUAAGAUGCAGAAAUAUAUAAGAUGUACAAAAACUUAGGAAAAAAUGGGACGAAUUUCAGAUUCAAUAAGACGACUUUUACAAGUAGUUGAUUUUUUUUAUAAGUGGUUCUGAAAAUACUCAACAUCAUUCCAUAGUUGAGACCACAGCAUAUGACCAUAAGGUACAAGUUGAGCAUCCCAAAUCUGAAAAUCCCAAAUCUGGAAGGCUCUAAAAUUUGAAACUUUUUGAGCACUGACACAUUUUGGAUUAGCACUGACAUGACAUUUUGUAUUUUCUUAUUUGGGUUGCUAAGUCUUAAUGCAAAUGUUCCAAAAUCUGAAAAAAAUUAAAAAUCAAAAACACUUUUGGUCCCAAGCAUUUCUGAUAAGGGACACUUAACCUAUAUUAUAGUUGAUUAGUUUUUUGUUUAUGAUUCAACUUGGUCUCAAAACUAAACUCAAUAUUUUCUUUUCAAGCCUCAUCACCCUUUACCAUUAUUUUGGGGAAUGACUCCUCCAUCUAUCCAGUUGUUUCAAGUUAUCAUUUACUACUCCAGUAACAGCUAUAUUCAGUAGGCCUUGAAUUAUUAGGUUUCUUCUUUAUAAUGUAUAUAUUUUUAUGCUUCUGUAUCAAUUCUGUCUUAAACAUUCCUUUUUUUUUCUUUUUUAAUGUUCACAGGUAGCUUUGAAAUAUUUCUUAUUUGGAUUAUAAUGGCAGCCUCAUUCAUUGUAGCUGUAUUCAAUCUAUACCAUUCUCAAAGGGAUCUUUCUAAAAGCAAAUCUGAUUAACUCAUUCUUUCUCCUCACCCCCUUAAAAUUAUUCUUUGAUAAAGGACUGAUCUCAUAGAGAGGGCCUCUUAAAACCCUGCUAGAUCUUUGGAAGCACAUAAGCUUGGUUCAGAUCCCUAUUCUACCCUUACCACUAUGACUUCUGACAAGUUUGAACAUCCUUAGAUUCUUUAGCUUGCAGAAGGAGGAUGAGUAUAAUCAUCUACCUUACAGAAUCAUUAUGAAGAUUUUACAUUUGUAAAGUUCUUAGUACUUUGCCUGACAUAUAGUGUUAGCUGUUGUUAGAAUUAACUCUCCAGCCAUACCUCUCUCUACUGUCCUUCCUUUGUAUAUAGGAUUAUCCAAAGUACUCACUAUAGUUGGCCAUUUACUUUUCUGCCUCCUCCAACAUUGAAAGCUUUUCUAGGGUAUAUGAGCUGCCUUAUUUUUCAUUAUAUUUCCUGUGCUUAGCACUACAUGUAGUAAUUUGUUGGUUCUUAAUAAAUAUUUGUGGGAAGAGUUAAUUCUGUUAGGUUUUGACAGAUUAGAAAAGUACAAGAUAUAUAUUGAAAAAUUAUUCUUGGGCUCCUGAAGAACUUUUUAAAGCAGUGUUUUAUUGGCCUUUGUGAGCACAGUGCUUGGCAAUUAGUAAGUGCUCAAUAAAUUAUUUGUAAUCAAAAUUGGAAUAUAAAUAUGAAUAGGAGCAUUAGGUAAGGGACAGGAUGUAGUUGUUUUGGUGGAGAUGUUAUCAGUUUUCAUGUUCCAUUUCCAUUACAGUUGCGAAGAAAGAAAUUCUACACUUGCAUACCUUCAGAGCCUAGCAAUCCUUUUCUUUUUUAACGAUUUAUGUGAGCAGGUUUUUUGUUUUUUUAAUUUCUUUUUACUCAAAACUUCCAUUUUGGUUCUCUUGCCUUAGCCAGUACAAAGGUGGCUUAUGGGUACUUCCUAUCUAUGAAAUGACUUGGUAUUAUGAGCCACUGAUUAGCUGAAGAGAGUCAGAAAAGAAAGAUGAAUCACUGGAAAGGAAAAAGAUUUUUCUUCCUUCCUGUGUGUAGAAGACAUACAUUUUUCUUUAACAGCUAGUUAAAAUCAGAAUAAGCUGUUUUACCAUAAUUCCAAUUAAAUAUCAUAAUGAAUUGUUGGUCCUUUGUCUAGGCUGGUAAUAGAUACCAUUUAGAUAAAAUUAGUCUAUGGGAUUUGAUCAUUGAAAUACUUGAAAGUCAUUUAUUAACCGCUGGUUUUAGAUGUUUUCCUGGUAUGUUUGGUACUAAUUUUUAGUAUGAUUUAUUCAAGAUUCACUUUGUCCUUCAUUUAAUAAGUAAGCAAAUUGGAGUGGUAUGUAAAUUAUCUCAGUAAUGCUAUUAAAAAAUAGGCAGAAGCAAUUUCACAAACCUUAGGGUAAUUCAUUCAUUCUUCCAUUCAGCUACAUCUUACUCUGAAAUCAGGAUGAGGGCUUCAGUGAAACGGAAUUAUCUACAAAUCCAUUUUUCAACAACAGCCAAUUAUACACUUAAAUGUUGUACUCCUUCAUCAUUUUGCAAGUAGAGAAUUCAUAUCAGAUUCUUAUUGUCUGAAAUAAUCUUUCAAUAAUACUCUUACUUUCUCACCCAUAGAGAUUACUUAAGUUUCUGCUUUGAUCACUGUGUAGAUAUACUUUGUGAAAGUUAUCUACUUAACAGUUCCAAAGAUUUUAACUUCCCACUCCCACCUCCAAAAGUACACAUAUAAACAGGCAUUCAAAAUUAGUACCCGAAGCAGCAAUCCUCCUACCUUGAAACUUAUACAAAAAAUUUUGUCAGAUGAUUUCUUUGUAUAAUGAAUUUUCAUUUUUCCAGAAAUAGCUCAAGGUGAAUAUUUCAUUUAGUAACUUAUUUGAAUUACUGAUCUUUCUUUGCAUAAAAUUGCCAGAGAAUCACUACCAGAUUUUAUUCCUUGAAAUAGAAUCUCCUAAAUUUAGCUUUUAUAUUUGUUUACUAAUGUUUACUAGUAUUCUUAUAGUAAAGGGAAAAACAGUCUGUUUAUUGCUUCUAUGUAGAAACUGACCUCUUCAUAAAUAGAAAGCACCAGUCCACUGUUAGGACUAUUGGCUUUCGUUUACAAUUUAAUUCAACAUUUUUAAAGCCCUCCUAACUUUGCCCCAUGUAAUUGAGAUACAAAGUUGAAUGAGAUAAUUGUGACAUCUAAGAUUCUUUAAAUUACAAAACAAAACAUAGUUCUGUAUGAGACUAGAGUAUAGAGACAAAGGAGAAAGGGAUAUGGUGUGGAAGACUUUAUAUUAAUACAAGAGAUGGUAAUGAAGCUAAGGUUUAGAAGAAGAGAAUCAGUUUGGGAGUGGGUGGUAGAGUACUGGGAAGUAGGAAAAAAUGGUGCCAGGCUUAAAGACCUAUGGUGUUCUAGAACCCUAUAGGCCAUUUCUAAGGGUGGAGCUCUGUUAGAGAGUGAAUACAGCAGAGGGAGUCAGGGACCAAUGACCUAAUGAAGGAUAUCAUAGCCUUUUCAUAAUAUGCAAAUUACUACAUAUAUGAGUUGCUUCUUAAAAUACAAGUAAUACAGAUUCUGACUCAAUAAGUCUAGGGUGGGAUCAUAUAUUUAGUAGGCGAUGUUGCAAGUGAUGCUACUGGUUCCAUGACCACAUUUGGAACAGCAAGAUUAUAGACUAUUCUGAGGAGUUUUGUCUUUAUUCUUUGGGGCUUGAAGCAGUGUUAUGAUUAAACUAUAAACUUAAGAAAAUCUUGCUUACAUAGUAUAGCAGAGGGGGGGGAUAUGGUGACGAUUUAGCUUUGGUGAAGAAAGAGAAA